UCGGUUUUUUCAUGAAAUGCCCCCGAGGUUUGCAAAAACACACCAAAUACCCUCGCGUCUUUUGAAUCACAUAAUAUACCCCUAUUUUUGCGUACUGUUCAUGAGAUGCACCUUUGAGUUAACGGCGUUAGUCUGCCGUUAGUCGUGUUUUACUAUUUUACCCUUAAUACGUAAUUUUCGACAUAAAUUCCAAAAAAAAAAAAAAUAUCUCAACUUCUUUCUCUUUCUCUUUCUCUCUCCUCUCCGAUGUUCUUCCUCCUGCUCUCUGGUCGCCGGCGGCGUCCGACUCCUGCUCUCUGACCGUCGACGAAAGUCGAUCCUCUCCUUCCCCUUUCCGACGUCCUUAUUCGCCGCUGUCGAAUUUGCCCGUCGUGAGUGCCGCACCUGCUGCAAGAAUGUGUAUGACUAGUAUGCAUUUGUUUAUGCAUUUCUUUUCGCUCAGAAGGUUUCUUAGGUUCACGUUUCGCAGCCCAAGCUCGAAGAGGAGGUUCAAAGUGUUUGCUGGCAACAUCAGGUGGAGGUAAAUCUUGGCAAGUACAAGAAGACAUUUCUCCCUAAGCAAAGAAGGCUUGUUGUAACAAGUGUUCCACAAUGAAUCAACCAGUUGCCUAUCAAGUUCCUCGAACAGUUGCAUCAAGUUCAAUUCAAUCAAUUUCUUAUUGGAUUUGUUGUUUGAGCAUCUCAAUUUUCUUUGAUUAUUACUUCUAUUUCAUGUUUUAGGUUUAACUUUUUGGUUGAUUAAUUUGAUUAAUUAGGUGAACGCUUUGUGGAAAUUAAAUUCUGCAGUUUAAAAGCAUUUUGCGUAUUUGGUGCAA